CAGAGUUCAUGCCCUCACGGGUAGAUCUCCCACCCUUGCGUAUUUAUACCUUUGUUGCUUUGGCAGGCCGCCUGGGCUCGCGCCUGGCCACCGGCUCCCGGCUGGUGCGUGCCUGCCAGAGGAUCUCCAAACUCUAGUUAUCAGUGUUGUCUGAGUACUAUACAAUAGUUA
rnacentral:misc_RNA from 1 species